rnacentral:rRNA from 1 species
AUGGUCAGAGAUUUCUACAGUUGUCUGAUGGGUGCGCCUGCGCGACUGCAAUCUUCCUUGAAGCUACAACAAUUAAACCUUCACUCCCUUCCUCCGGACCUUGCAAAUGGUUUAGAAGCGACUUUUACUGACACUGAAGUCAAACAAGUGAUUAUGGAGAUGCCGUCCGAUCGUGCGCCGGGGACGGAUGGCUUCUCGGGUCUCUUUUACAAGGUUUGUUGGGAUAUCAUCGGGAAGGAUUUUAUGGCGGUCAUGCAUGAGCUCCACAGGAGCAAUUUCAACUCUUUUGGUCGACUUAAUUCCUCCAUCAUCACUUUGCUGCCCAAGAAAGAGUGCUCCCUUCAAGUGGCGGAUUUUAGGCCGAUCAACUUAAUCCAUGGGGCUGCUAAAAUCUUUGCUAAAGUCUUGGCUGUGCGUCUUGCCCCCCUGCUACCAACUCUCAUCUCACAAGUUCAGAGUGCGUUCACCACUCGGAGGAGCAUACAUGAGAACUUUAAAUUUGUUCGCAACGCUGCCAGACUACUCCAUCGCAAGAAAUCCCCGGCUGUACUUAUGAAGCUUGAUAUUUCCAAAGCUUUUGAUACAUUGUCAUGGGAAUUCAUCAUACAGAUUCUGACAAGGCGAGGCUUUGGCAGACACUGGUGUUCUUGGGUUUGUGGCCUACUUCGAACAGCGUCGUCAUCAGUGUUGGUCAACGGUGAGACUUGCGAGCCGUUCUCGCUUGGCUGCGGCGUCAGACAAGGAGAUCCAAUAUCUCCGGCUCUCUUCAUUCUUGCCAUGGACACACUGCAAGCAAUGAUCCAUUGGGCGGUCCAAAAUAAUAUGCUAUCUGAUCUGGGCCUACCUCCCAACUGCCCAAGGGCUUCCUUCUUUGCAGAUGAUGCCAUUAUCUUCUUCAGACCUUACCCGAGGGAUUUGGAGGUAAUCUCAGCCAUUCUAACGCUGUUUGCCAAGGCUACGGGCCUUCGCAUCAAUAUGCAAAAAACCACUGUUACUUGCAUCAGAUGUGACGACGCUGUCUCUGCUAGUGUGGCGCAACACUUUUCAUGUCAGCUGGAAACCUUCCCUUUGCAGUACCUGGGAUUACCGCUUUCUAUUUUCAGGCUGAGACGUCAGGACAUUUUGCCACUCAUCGACAAGUUUUCCAACAAAAUGAAGGGGUGGAAACCCAAGCUUAUGGCCCCUGCAGGACGUUUAACACUCACGCAAUCAGUUCUGAUGGCCCUGCCAAUCCACUUCUUGUCGGUUCUGCCGCUGCCGGCGUGGGCACUUAAGACAAUCAACAGGAGAUGUCGGAGUUUUAUUUGGAAAGGAGACAUUGAUAUUAGUGGUGGGCACUGCCUGUUACCUUGGGCUAGGGUAUGCAUGCCUAAGGAAUGCGGAGGUCUGGGUGUCCUAAAUCUCAAAUGGUUCGGUCAGGCCCUCCGCUGUAGGUGGCCAUGCGCAAGAUGGGAUGUCGAAGAAAGGCCGUGGCAUCAACUUUCAUAG